rnacentral:rRNA from 1 species
AAAACGACUCUCGGCAACGGAUAUCUCGGCUCUCGCAUCGAUGAAGAACGUACCGAAAUGCGAUACUUGGUGUGAAUUGCAGAAUCCCGUGAACCAUCGAGUCUUUGAACGCAAGUUGCGCCCGAAGCCUUCUGGCCGAGGGCACGCCUGCCUGGGCGUCACACGCC